UAUAAAUGGCUGUGUACAUGAUCAAUUCAAAGCAACUCUUCAUUCAUUUAUUUCAGCCAAAAAUACAGAUUGAGUGAAAAAGACAAAGUGCGAACACCAAAAGAUGUGCUCAUUAUUAUCAGGAUUGACAACAGUUUAUGCUUUUGAUGAAGCAGUCAUGCCAAGGAAGAGAUUAGCAUGUAAGCAGCAAAGUUCAUCCUUGUCUUCAACACUAUGGUGACAACAAAUAAUACAUAUCUUCGAAAUGCAUUUUGCCAAUCCUGGUGCAACCUGAGCUUACCAAGUUUACAUCUGACUGUCAGUUUGGACAUUGUGUAGAUGAUAAUAUGGACAAUAUAUUGUGUUGUGAUUGACUUUUUUUAAACAGAUAAAGUGAUUUAUUCCAGACUUAGCAUGUCAUUUAUAAUCAAGGAAUAACAAAAAUACAAUUUUAUUGAUAUGCAUGAAUUUGUAGUACAUAAUAUCAACAAUGUGUAUCUUAUGUUGUUUUUUGAACAGUCUGUCAUCCAUAAGUAAAAAUAUUAAGCAUGUUAAGUAUGUUUAGGGAAUAUAAUGUAUACAUUUUUGUUGUUUCUGCAAACUGAGUCAGAUACAUGUAAAUCUGUUUUAUGAUUAAUGAUGAAAAACUCACUCAUAGUGAUCUCAUUAUAAAAUGGUCUGUCCAGUAUAAUAAAUAAAGUGUAUUGUAUGCCGGGUAUGUGUUCUAAAAAUAAAAUCACAAUUACCAAUGUAGUUCAUAUUGACAUCAAAAUAUGUGAUGUAAACAUAUGUAGUCAUAUUAUGUAUACAUGUAUAUUAUUUUUACCGGUAAACAAAAAUUAAGAAGUGUAACAUUCAAUCUAUGAUGAUGUGUGCCAUUAAAUAUGUCUUGCUGAUUGCUAUAAUUUUGUUAAAGUUAAAAAUCGUGUUUUUGAACCUCAACAUAUGAAAUGAGUGAAUUUUGUUUUCUAUCGACACUACUUAGUUUAAUAAAAUAUUAGCUAUAAAUAUAUUGUUGAUAACACAUACCAUGUAUAUGGAAUUGAAAAUGUACUGUUUCCAUAGCAACUUUAAAAUAACUAAAUAAAAUUUGUCUAAUUAAUUUUAUCAAUUGUUGAAUAAACUAGAAAUGCUAAUUAAAAAAAAUGUCUGGCAGUAUAGAUGCACAACACAAAUUGUAUUAUGAGCCGUUGUUUAUUAAAGUUUCAAAUUUGUAGCUAUACAAACUGUUCAAUUUCUGAAUAUUUCAAGAAAAUGUGCAAACAUUUUUUUUAAUUAUAAACAUAUUUAUGAUGUUCCAUAUCUGUCAAGGGCAUUUUUUUUAUUUUGCUGUUAUGAAGGCCAGAAGAGCUUAUGUGACGGCGUGGUUUUUGUCCGUCCGUGUGUUUCCGCUAUUAAGUCCACAGUUUUCAUCCGAUUCUUUUCAAACUUGUUCAUUGUCUUUAUAUUUAUGAGGACUCGAACCUUUUCGAUUUUCAGGUCACUGGGUCAAAGGUCAAGGUCACAGUGACUCGAAACAGUAAAAUGGUUUCCGGAUGAUAACUCAAGAAUGCUUAUGCCUAGGAUCAAAAAACUUCAUGGGAACAUUGAUCAUGACUGGCAGAUGACUCCUAUUGAUUUUCAGGUCACUAGGUCAGAGGUCAAGGUUACAGUGACUCAAAUAGUGAAAUGGUUUCUGGAUGAUAACUCAAGAAUGUUUACACCUAGGAAAAUGAAACUUCAUAGGUACAUUGAUCAUGACUGGCAGAUGCCCACUUUUAAUUUUCAGGUCAAAGGUCAAGGUCACAGUGACUCAAAACAGUAAAAUGGUGUCCUGAUUAAAACUCAAGAACAAUUAGGCAUAGGAUCAUGAAACUUUAUAGGUACAUUGAACCCUAUUGAAUAUGAGCAGUAUCGGAGAAAUAAGUACACAAUAAUAUACCCUUGAGUUUGAGAAAAUUCUGCUUGUUUGCGCGUUUAAGUACAUAGUUUCCAUCUUAAUAUUUCCAAACCUGCAAAUAGUUUAUAGCAGUAGAGCGAUUCAGGCCCGCAUGGGCCUCUUGUUAGGAAUUGGAUGCUCAAAUUUCAGAUUUUGAUUUGUCAGAUGUAGCACUUUCAUAACAUAUGCCUAACUAAAAAAAGUCAUUUUUUUACCAAAUGGGUCAAAAUCUCGUUCCCAGCCACAUAUCUUAGUAAGAAGGUGAUUUUUCAAGCGGUUCCGUAGUGUAGUGGUUACACGCUCGCUUCAUAUGUGGGAGGUCCAAGGUUCGAGCCCCAGCAGAAUCAAAUUAUUUGAUUUGUGUUCUAUGUUAACUUUUUGUUUUGAUGUAGACAUUUUAGUUUAAAUAAAUAUGCUGUUUUAUUGUAACCAUUUUUUGU